UGGGGGUCGGGGUGGGUCUCUUUUUUGACUCUUGGGAGCUGUAGGCUUGAAGGACCCCACGCUCAGCUAAAUCACCAAUUUGGGUCUCCUUCUCAUCCCAUUUCAUCAUGGGGCUUCCAAGAUCAGACCUUGUCACCACCCUCAGACUCAUCCCAAGGGGAUCUCCACUAUCCACCCAGCAAGCGAAAGGGCUGGAAAAUCCCCAGUGAGGAUCUGUGGGGGCUCCUUCUGGAAGCUCCAGCCACCUUAAGGCCAACUUGGUGACUUAUUUUUCUCUUUUAAGAGAACAGCUUCAUCAUUUUGGUAAAAAUACUGUGUCUAAUCAUGGUGGAGUGGCAGGAUGGCUUAAUGGCAGUUGGGCUCCAGAGCCAACUGCCUGGGUUUGGCUUCUGUCAUUGCUCUUUGCUGGCUGUGUGACCGUGGGGAGCCGUCUGUCUUAGUAGUCCCACCUACAAUGGUGGUAAUGAGAGUAUCCACUUCACAUGGUCUUCAUGAGAAUAGGGAAUCAAUGCAUGUAGGGGAUUUGCAACUACCCUCAGCAGUGUAGCCAGGGUGUAGGCAUCAUCAUCAUUAUGGUUGUUAAACACUUUCAAACAAUACAGAAAUAAGCAAAAUUCAUACCAACAUCUACCACGUAGGGAACCUUCUUUCAGAUAUCUCUUUUUGGGUGGGAAGUACACAUUGUUUUAUAUAAAUGUGAUUUAUAGUAUGCAUUGUUCAGAUACUUUUUUUUUUUUUUACUUAACCAUAUGUGUUGGAAAUUUUCCACCAUCAGUCUAUAUAGAUCUACUUCCUUCUUUGAAAAUUAGUAUUAAUGAGCUACAAUUUAUUGGCCUAAUCUAUCACUAUCUUGUGGGCAUAAAGACAAUUUUCAAUUUUUCACUAUGAUAAACAACAUUAUGGGCAUAUGCUGUGCAUAUAUUGUCUUGCAUUUGGAAUAUCUCCUUGGGCUAAAUUCGAGAAGUGGGAAUGCUGGGGCCAAAGAGUCUGCACAUUUUACACUUUGAUACACAUAGCCAAGCUGCCCUUUGGAAAGGUUGUAC
rnacentral:lncRNA from 1 species